rnacentral:rRNA from 1 species
AGUGAACGCUGGCGGUAGGCCUAACACAUGCAAGUCGAACGGCAGCACAGUAGGAGCUUGCUCUUACGGGUGGCGAGUGGCGGACGGGUGAGGAAUACAUCGGAAUCUACUUUUUCGUGGGGGAUAACGUAGGGAAACUUACGCUAAUACCGCAUACGACCUACGGGUGAAAGCAGGGGAUCUUCGGACCUUGCGCGAUUGAAUGAGCCGAUGUCGGAUUAGCUAGUUGGCGGGGUAAAGGCCCACCAAGGCGACGAUCCGUAGCUGGUCUGAGAGGAUGAUCAGCCACACUGGAACUGAGACACGGUCCAGACUCCUACGGGAGGCAGCAGUGGGGAAUAUUGGACAAAGGGCGCAAGCCUGAUCCAGCCAUACCGCGUGGGUGAAGAAGGCCUUCGGGUUGUAAAGCCCUUUUGUUGGGAAAGAAAAGCAGCAGGUUAAUACCCCGCUGUUCUGACGGUACCCAAAGAAUAAGCACCGGCUAACUUCGUG